UGGCGAACGGCUGAGUAACGCGUAAGUAACCUACCCCUGGGUGGGGAAUAACUCGCCGAAAGGCGGGAUAAUACCGCAUGUGCUGUCGUGCCACAAGGUACGCCCGCAAAGGUGCCUCGCAAGGGGCAUCGCCCGGGGAUGGGCUUGCAUCCUAUCAGGUAGUUGGUGAGGUAACGGCCCACCAAGCCGAUGACGGGUAGCUGGUCUGAGAGGACGGCCAGCCAGAGGGGGACUGAGACACGGCCCCCACUCCUACGGGAGGCAGCAGCAGGGAAUCUUGCGCAAUGGGCGAAAGCCUGACGCAGCGACGCCGCGUGGGGGAAGAAGGCCUUCGGGUCGUAAACCCCUUUUCUGGGGGAAGAGCAAGGACGGUACCCCAGGAAUAAGCCUCGGCUAACUACGUGCCAGCAGCCGCGGUAAUACGUAGGAGGCUAGCGUUGUCCGGAUUUACUGGGCGUAAAGGGCGUGUAGGCGGCUUGGGAAGUCCCUUGUGAAAUCUCCCGGCUCAACCAGGAGCGGUCGAGGGAUACUUCCAGGCUAGAGGGCAGUAGAGGAGAGUGGAAUUCCCGGUGUAGUGGUGAAAUGCGUAGAUAUCGGGAGGAACACCCGUGGCGAAAGCGGCUCUCUGGACUGUACCUGACGCUGAGGCGCGAAAGCGUGGGGAGCAAACAGGAUUAGAUACCCUGGUAGUCCACGCCUUAAACAAUGGAUGCUGGGUAUGGGAGGUAUCGACCCCCCCUGUGCCGAAGCUAACGCGUUAAGCAUCCCGCCUGGGGACUACGGCCGCAAGGUUAAAACUCAAGGAAUUGACGGGGGCCCGCACAAGCAGCGGAGCGUGUGGUUUAAUUCG
rnacentral:rRNA from 1 species